rnacentral:rRNA from 1 species
GAUGAACGCUGGCGGCGUGCCUAAUACAUGCAAGUCGAGCGAACGGACGAUAAGCUUUCUUCUCUGAUGUUAGCGGCGGACGGGUGAGUAACACGUGGAUAACCUACCUAUAAGACUGGGAUAACUUCGGGAAACCGGAGCUAAUACCGGAUAAUAUUUUGAACCGCAUGGUUCAAAAGUGAAAGACGGUCUUGCUGUCACUUAUAGAUGGAUCCGCGCUGCAUUAGCUAGUUGGUAAGGUAACGGCUUACCAAGGCAACGAUGCAUAGCCGACCUGAGAGGGUGAUCGGCCACACUGGAACUGAGACACGGUCCAGACUCCUACGGGAGGCAGCAGUAGGGAAUAUUCCGCAAUGGGCGAAAGCCUGACGGAGCAACGCCGCGUGAGUGAUGAAGGUCUUCGGAUCGUAAAACUCUGUUAUUAGGGAAGAACAUAUGUGUAAGUAACUGUGCACAUCUUGACGGUACCUAAUCAGAAAGCCACGGCUAACUACGUG